AGCGGCGGACGGGUGAGUAAUGCGUGGGAAUAUGCCCUUUGGUAUGGAAUAGCCCCGGAAACGGGGAGUAAUACCGUAUGUGCCCUACGGGGAAAAGAUUUAUCGCCAAAGGAUUAGCCCAUGUUGGAUUAGCUGGUUGGUGAGGUAAAAGCUCACCAAGGCGACGAUCUAUAGCUGGUUUGAGAGGAUGAUCAGCCACACUGGGACUGAGACACGGCCCAGACUCCUACGGGAGGCAGCAGUGGGGAAUAUUAGACAAUGGGCGAAAGCCUGAUCUAGCCAUGCCGCGUGAGUGAAGAAGGCCCUAGGGUUGUAAAGCUCUUUCAGAUGUGAGGAUGAUGACAGUAACAUCAGAAGAAGCCCCGGCUUACUUCGUGCCAGCAGCCGCGGUAAUACGAAGGGGGCUAACGU
rnacentral:rRNA from 1 species